UCUUUCCUUAAGACUGCCUUUAGGCAACAGAUGCCAUCUGAUCUUGGAAAUUAAGCAGAGUUGGUUCUGGUUAGUACUUGGAUGGGAGACUGCCAAUGAGUAUCAGCUACUGUAGGCU
rnacentral:rRNA from 11 species